rnacentral:rRNA from 1 species
UACGGGGGGGGCAAGCGUUGUUCGGAAUUACUGGGCGUAAAGGGUGCGUAGGCGGCGUGGUAAGUCGGAUGUGAAAUCUCGGAGCUUAACUCCGAAACUGCAUUCGAUACUGCCGUGCUUGAGGACUGGAGAGGAGACUGGAAUUUACGGUGUAGCGGUGAAAUGCGUAGAUAUCGUAAGGAAGACCAGGGGCGAAGGCGAGUUUCUGGACAGUAACUGACGCUGAGGCACGAAGGCCAGGGGAGCAAACGGG